AAGUCGUAACAAGGUUUCCGUAGGUGAACCUGCGGAAGGACCAUUCAUAAUUGAGUGUUUUAUGGCACUCUUUAAAAAAUCCAUAUCCACCUUGUGUGCAACGUUUUUAGACACCCUGGCGCUGAUAUCUCUUUUAAGAGAAGGAAAGCCAGGAUGUUUGAUUAACUUAACUCAACUCCUUUAAAACAGUUUGUCUGAAUACCUAUUUCUGAAUAACAUAAUUCAAAAAUACAACUUUCAACAACGGAUCUCUUGGCUCUC
rnacentral:misc_RNA from 1 species